UGGCUUUGAUAUCCUCUUCCCUUUAAGCUGUGCUGUGGUGCGAGUGCUCCGUGGGCCAUGCAGUAGGAGUGUGGCUGCUGCCUGGGCUUCGUCAUGUCUGCUGCUCUGCAUGUCUGCAUAUCAUAUUUCAGACAUUAAAAAGUAACGUACAAGAGGUGCAAGCAGAGGACUGCAGCCCAUGGAGAGAGAGCCUGAGAAGGAGUAGAGAAGUAAGGAGUGAAAGGAUGUGAAAGUAAGGAGCACUCCCAUGUGCUGAUCUCACCUCCUGUACCACCGGCAUUAGGGGUGGAAGACUCCACACUGAAGCUGAGAUGGGAAAGGGAAUAUAUGUGCUGCUGACUCUAUUAGUGGCCUUCAGUAUCUCUUCAUCUUAAACAACACUGGAGAGAAGUUGUACGGCACUACAAAGGCUGAAAGUGCUAUGUUAGUAAUUGCUUCAAGAAUACUAUUUGCCUUCUGCCAAGAGAAAGAUGUUUUUAGGUACCAGGUUGUCUCCUACACCAUUACAGUUGUUUUAUUUCGUCCCACUAAAGAUGGAUUCAUAAGGAGGAUGCUCUGUGAUUGGGGUGUUUGGGAGUAAGGAUACCACAUGUCUGUUUUGAAAAAAGAUGUGGCAGAAAGGCCAAUAGGAGUCUGAAGUGCACGUCCACAAAUGAGUUUGAAGACAUCGCUAAGACACGGAAGCAGGCUGAAAGCAGGCAAAACAAAUGGCCUGGGUGGAAGCUGGAGGGACCUUCAUUACUGCAGCUUCAGAAGAUCAAAAUGGUGCACAGUAGAAGAGGCAGGAAGACUGAAAUAUUUUGGUACAACUUGGGAAAUUUCUGCCCUUUGAAUAAUUUCCUUAAAUAAUCUCAUCUCCAACUAUGUGUUUUUAGUCCAGAAACUUCCAACAGCUUUUUACGUUGACUAAGUUUUACACAGCCUCACUGACCUCUUUGAUCUGCUUCUUGUGGCCAGCUCCAUGGGUCUCCAGGAUAAGCCUCCUCGACCUCACACUCCACAACCACAACCUUUGGCAGUGUUGAGUCUUCUCCCAGACAUCCCUAUUCUAUUCCAGAAUUCAGCAGCCAAGAAAACAGGAACAGUGUAUCUUCUGCUGACGAACUCUUUUCUUCCAUAAAUGUAGAUACUGUUGCAUUUCAUAAGUAUAUCUGAGUGCAGAGAUUCAUAGUUUAAAUCCAGCACAUACACUAAAUACCUAGCUAAACUCUAGAACUAGGAAUAUAGCCUUGGAGAGAUCAAAAUUAAGCUAUCCCCUUUAUCAGCGUUGUCAGAGCCUGUGAUGGAUGUAUUAUUUCCUGGUUUGGUCACCGUGUUUCAAAAGAAGAUGGGAGAGAAUCUUCAGCAAAGAUCAGAAUAAUGGCAACGAUCAGAAAUGGAGAAAACGUGAGGGAAUUUUUUAAUUGAAUAAAGGAGAAAGGAAUACUUUUCAGGGAAGGGACAGGAAAAAGGAUGACAUGAUAACUUGUUUUCUUUUCAUUAAAGAAUCUUGCAAAUGGGAAUGAAACAACUGUUCUCUGUACCUAAGGGAUGGAACAGAUGGAAAAGAGCUUAAAAGACAUAAGAAAGGCUCACAUUAGAAGAUAAACUCUCUAAACAAUAGGAAGUACAUCGCUUUCUGAGUUGCUGAAUGUUCAUUACCAACAUCUUCAGGAUUGAAUUAAGAACGGCACAGUCACGGUGUGGAGCAUGAAGGGACAAGGUGACAUCUCGAGAACACACCAAGGUAUUGCUCUGAGCCUCCCAUCCCAUUCCUGUUCCUGAGCUUUCUGUUGAAUUUAGAUUUCCUCAACCUGUAUAGUUCUGCUUUCUCACACACGUAUUAGUAAAUACAGAUUUAGGUAUCUU
rnacentral:lncRNA from 7 species